rnacentral:rRNA from 1 species
UACGUAGGGGGCUAGCGUUGUCCGGAAUCAUUGGGCGUAAAGAGCGCGUAGGCGGCCCGGUAAGUCCGCUGUAAAAGUCCAGGGCUCAACCCUGGAAAGCCGGUGGAUACUGUCGGGCUCGAGUCCGGAAGAGGCGAGUGGAAUUCCUGGUGUAGCGGUGAAAUGCGCAGAUAUUAGGAGGAACACCGGUGGCGAAGGCGGAUCUCUGGGCCUUACCUGACGCUGAGGAGCGAAAGCAUGGGGAGCAAACAGG